GGCCGGGAACUCAAAGGAGACUGCCAGUGAUAAACUGGAGGAAGGUGGGGAUGACGUCAAGUCAUCAUGGCCCUUACGACCAGGGCUACACACGUGCUACAAUGGCGCAUACAAAGAGAAGCAAACUCGCGAGAGCAAGCGGACCUCAUAAAGUGCGUCGUAGUCCGGAUUGGAGUCUGCAACUCGACUCCAUGAAGUCGGAAUCGCUAGUAAUCGUGAAUCAGAAUGUCACGGUGAAUACGUUCCCGGGCCUUGUACACACCGCCCGUCACACCAUGGGAGUGGGUUGCAAAAGAAGUAGGUAGCUUAACCUUCGGGAGGGCGCUUACCACUUUGUGAUUCAUGACUGGGGUGAAGUCGUAACAAGGUAACCGUAGGGGAACCUGCGGUUGGAUCACCUCCUUACCUUAAAGAA
rnacentral:rRNA from 1 species